GAUGAACGCUGGCGGCGUGCCUAAUACAUGCAAGUCGAGCGAACGGACGAGAAGCUUGCCUCUCUGAUGUUAGCGGCGGACGGGUGAGUAACACGUGGAUAACCUACCUAUAAGACUGGGAUAACUUCGGGAAACCGGAGCUAAUACCGGAUAAUAUUUUGAACCGCAUGGUUCAAAAGUGAAAGACGGUCUUGCUGUCACUUAUAGAUGGAUCCGCGCUGCAUUAGCUAGUUGGUAAGGUAACGGCUUACCAAGGCAACGAUGCAUAGCCGACCUGAGAGGGUGAUCGGCCACACUGGAACUGAGACACGGUCCAGACUCCUACGGGAGGCAGCAGUAGGGAAUCUUCCGCAAUGGGCGAAAGCCUGACGGAGCAACGCCGCGUGAGUGAUGAAGGUCUUCGGAUCGUAAAACUCUGUAUUAGGGAAGAACAUAUGUGUAAGUAACUGUGCACAUCUUGACGGUACCUAAUCAGAAAGCCACGGCUAACUACGUG
rnacentral:rRNA from 1 species